GAGUGUGAGCAGCACGAGCCCAUCAUGUUGAGCAGUGGGAUUUACAGGGGGUUGCGUCAGCACCAGGGCUUGCAGCAUCAUUUCCCACAUGGCAUAGGCAGGAGCUGGGCCCCCGUGGAGCACAGGGAGCUGCUCCCCAGGGAUGGCUUCAUUGUGUGCCCUCCAGCGGGGAGCCACGGGAGGGAAGGAGUGCAGGAAGCCAGACCGUGUCACUGUAAAUCCUGUCACGCCUAACGAUGUUUUCUCAAGCAUGUUUUCCUGACUUCCCUCCCGAGAGAUUAAACCUGAAAGAUGACUAUGCUUAUCUGUGGGUAGCCCAGAAACAAAAUGUUUCCCAAGAAAUAACCACAACAUUGCAGUCUGACCAUGCUCAUUAUUAUAAAAGAACGUUUUAUUUCACUUUUUCCUGGGUGCACUAUAUUGCAACGUAACACUAGGCAGGUCUAUCGACAAAUUAAGAUCCUUGCUGCAGGAUUAAGAUUGUCUUCUUAUUUUUGAGGCACUGUCACCUCUGCUUCUGCUACCAAGGAAGACUUGUAUUAUUUUUAAGCAAUAAUGUUAAAUGACUUUCUUAUAUUCUGGCAAUUGUAUUAGUUAUUAGGCACCUGAUUAGUGUAAUUAAUUAUAUGAACUCAUACAAACCAUGCCUGAAGCAUCAUCCACAAGAAGUCCAUCCAUUCCAAGCCAAAUACUAUAGUUCACAGAAAAGUCUUCUAGUAUGCAAUUGCACAUGAAUAUACAUAUGAGCAGUACACGAAUCACUGAGUAAAUAUGGCACUUUUAUAUGUUUUCCAGGAGGUCAUACAGAAUUAGGAAACAAUCUUCUCUGAGCUGACGCACUUCUAAAAUACAAUACAGUUUUGGAAAAUACACCCCACAGACUAGAUAGGAAGUAUAGAAAAGUCAGCAGUGCAGCUACCUGAGUUUGUUUCAUUCAGUUUAACAGUGAUCUGAUAUUUUUUUCAUUCACAAGCCUGAGGGCUGUCCAACCAUGAAAGCCAUGCCACCUGACUCUGCUACACACACAGCACAUGGCUCUCCAAGUGCUGAGCUGACCUAGCAUCUCCAAAGCAGCCCACCCAUUGCUCCUGGCACAGACCCUGGCUGCUCCUACCCCAGUGUCCAUCGAUCCUUCAGAGAGCUGAGCCUGCAGCAAAUGUGUCGUGUUCCCCCCCACCCCCC
rnacentral:lncRNA from 1 species